GACGAACGCUGGCGGCGUGCUUAAUACAUGCAAGUCGAACGAAAAGGCCCGGCUCUUGUUGGUUUCUCGAUUGGCGAACGCGUGAGUAACACGCGAGUAACCUGUCCUUGACUGUGUGAUAACUUCAGGAAACUGGGGCGAAAAUCGGAUAUGAUCUCUUGCUGCAUGGUGGUGGUUGGAGAGUGUCGGCGGUUGUGGAUGGACUCGCUGGUUAUGAGCUUGUUUGUGAGGUAGGGGCUUACCAAGGCUUUGACGGGUAGCCGGCCUGGGAGGGUUACCGGCCACAUUGGGCCUGCGAGAGGGACCAGAAUGCUAUCGGAGGCAGCAGUGGGAAAUAUUGCACAAUGGCGGGACGUCUGAUGCAGAAACGCCGCGAGCGGGAUGCCGGCCUUCGGGUUGUGAACAGAUUUGGACUGUGACAAAGCGUGAGUGACGGUACUGGGUAAAGAAGCAACGGCUAACUACGUG
rnacentral:rRNA from 1 species